GACUGGCAACGGGCCGAAUAAAUCGAU
rnacentral:sRNA from 1 species